AUUGAACGCUGGCGGCAUGCUUUACACAUGCAAGUCGAACGGUAACAGGUUAAGCUGACGAGUGGCGAACGGGUGAGUAAUGCAUCGGAACGUGCCCGGUCGUGGGGGAUAACGCAGCGAAAGCUGCGCUAAUACCGCAUACGAUCUGAGGAUGAAAGCGGGGGACCGUAAGGCCUCGCGCGAUUAGAGCGGCCGAUAUCUGAUUAGCUUGUUGGUGGGGUAAAAGCCCACCAAGGCGACGAUCAGUAGCUGGUCUGAGAGGACGAUCAGCCACACUGGGACUGAGACACGGCCCAGACUCCUACGGGAGGCAGCAGUGGGGAAUUUCCGCAAUGGGCGAAAGCCUGACGGAGCAAUACCGCGUGAGGGAUGAAAGCCUGUGGGUUGUAAACCUCUUUUCUCAAGGAAGAAGUUCUGACGGUACUUGAGGAAUAAGCAUCGGCUAACUCUGUG
rnacentral:rRNA from 1 species